AUACUGACCAGCAAGGGAAGACCCCAGGAUCAUUAAGGUGGUUUUCUUAAGGCGAGGCUUAUCCACUGCACUCCAGAUGUGCUAACCCCUGCAAUUUCCUCAAAUGUGGGAAGCUUGACUGCAUAGUCUGUGGUAGUGGCAAACUGUGUCCAUGUUCUCCCC
rnacentral:snRNA from 1 species